GAUGAACGCUGGCGGCGUGCCUAACACAUUCAAGUCGAACGGGCUGAUACGAAAGCUUGCUUUUGUUGAAAGCUAGUGGCGGACGGGUGAGUAACGCGUGAGCAACCUGCCUCUGUGAGGGGAACAACAUCGGGAAACCGGUGCUAAUACCGCAUAAUAUACAUUAUUCGCAUGUUUGAUGUAUCAAAGGAGAAAUCCGCACAGAGAUGGGCUCGCGUCUGAUUAGACAGUUGGUGGGGUAACGGCCUACCAAAUCUACGAUCAGUAGCCGGACUGAGAGGUUGAACGGCCACAUUGGAACUGAGAAACGGUCCAGACUCCUACGGGAGGCAGCAGUGGGGAAUAUUGGGCAAUGGGCGAAAGCCUGACCCAGCAACGCCGCGUGAAGGAAGAAGGUCUUCGGAUUGUAAACUUUUGUCAACAGGGAAGAAGAAGUGACGGUACCUGAAGAGGAAGCCACGGCUAACUACGGUG
rnacentral:rRNA from 1 species